GAGGAAUAUUGCGCAAUGGAGGCAACUCUGACGCAGCCAUGCCGCGUGCAGGAAGAAGGCGCUACGCGUCGUAAACUGCUUUUAUCAGGGAAGAAACCCCCGGACGUGUCCGGGGUUGACGGUACCUGAGGAAUAAGCACCGGCUAACUCCGUGCCAGCAGCCGCGGUAAUACGGAGGGUGCAAGCGUUAUCCGGAUUCAUUGGGUUUAAAGGGUGCGUAGGCGGAACGUUAAGUCAGUGGUGAAAUCCUGCAGCUCAACUGUAGACUUGCCAUUGAUACUGGCGUUCUUGAGUGCGCUUGAAGUAGGCGGAAUGUGUCGUGUAGCGGUGAAAUGCUUAGAUAUGACACUGAACACCAAUUGCGAAGGCAGCUUACUAAGGCGAUACUGACGCUGAGGCACGAAAGCGUGGGGAUCAAAC
rnacentral:rRNA from 1 species